rnacentral:misc_RNA from 1 species
CUCUACCAUAUUCAUCCCUAUCACGAUCUCCGCUUCUCUAGCGACUCUCUCCCUCUGUAUAUCUCAACUUUUCUUUUCGUUCCCGUUGAUCCAUAGCUCUCUUCUCUAUGCGCAUCACUACUAAGCACCAUGACCCGCAUUGAAGUUCUGCCACUGUUAGCGGUCUGGCCCAAGUGAGCGUUUUGUCUUUUCGUUCCCGUAGCCCAAACCGUGCUUGGUGCCAGGCACGCCUCAGCGUUUGAUGUGAGGGUUCAGUACCCCCAUUCGGUAGGGAAGCCACGCAGCCCCCUUAUCACUGCCAAUGCUUAAUCGCUUCUCGAGGCGCCAAAGUCCAUUGCUCAAGACCUGGCAGCUCAGAGCGAUGCAUGGCUGCUGAUGUCGGCGGUGGGGUGGUGGACGGCGUUGCGUUGGAGCGGCCUGAGACAGCGAACACGCGUGUGCCAUCCACAUCAUGGGCACAGUGCCAAUGCCACUCCAAUGCAUCUUCACCCCGCCCUGGCACUGCCUGCAGGUGUGGGGCGCCUGAGCCACCUCGAGGGGGAUGCAUCAGGUGGCUGCCGGCACCAUGGGAGCGGCUGUGAGGCGACCUGACCUGCGAGGCAGGGGGGCGGGUAGAGUGUGAGGCAGAGGCUGUGCUGCGGUGCCCACGUGGGCAUUGCGGUAGCACUUGUCUGCUGCUGCAUGGCACCACGCGAUGGGGACGCUGUGACGGGCCGGGGGUAGGGUGGAGCGCUGAGCGAAGCCGAACUGACGCUACAUGUCACAAUGCACAUUGAGAAAAACACGAAUCAGCCCUUGCCGCUUAUUAAUUCUGUAUGUUUCGGUGCUCAAGCCAUGAAGUAGUUCUACUGUGACUCUUUUUUUUUCGCAGAAGACCUGCGUUCUUUACGGUCAAUGCCAGCCUGCCUUGCUUUUUCAUACAAGGCAUGCAACCCAGUCGAUCCCUGCACUUUUUUUUUACCGGACUGCGUGAGUUGCCAAGCGAGAUUGUCUGCUUUUAGUAUGCGUCACUGUUUUUAUCGUUGCACAUAGGUUUAUACCUCCCUGAAUUUUCUUUCCGUGAAGCGCAUACCUCCGAUUCGCGAACGAGAACCUAAAAACGGAAAACAGCAAUGCACUGAUGCAAUCGUGGCUGUAUUUGUCGCACUUUGAAGCGAAUCAGG